rnacentral:rRNA from 1 species
CGGCAACAGCUCAAAUUUGAAAUCUGGCCCUUUCAGGGUCCGAGUUGUAAUUUGUAGAGGGUGCUUCGGCGUUGGCCUGGGUCUAAGUUCCUUGGAACGGGACGUCCUAGAGGGUGAGAACCCCGUACGUGGCCUCCGGUCUUCGCCAUGUGAAGCCCCUUCGAC